GCCCGCUUGGCGGAAUUGGUAGACGCGCUAGCUUCAGGUGCUAGUGGCCGCAAGGCUGUAAGAGUUCAAAUCUCUUAGUGGGCACCA
rnacentral:tRNA from 1 species